rnacentral:rRNA from 1 species
CUUUACUGUAGCUUGAGAUUGAAUUCGGACUUGUUAUGUGCAGUAUAGGUGGGAGGCUAAGAUGAUAUGCUUGCGGGUGUAUAAGAGCCAUUAGUGAGAUACCACUCUUAAUAAGUUAGAAUUCUAAUUUUAUAUCAUUAUCUGGUUAAAAAACAGUCUCAGGUAGGCAGUUUGACUGGGGCGGUCGCCUCCUAAAAAGUAACGGAGGCGUGCAAAGGUUUCCUCAGGCUGGUCGGAAAUCAGUCGUAGAGUGUAAAGGCAUAAGGAAGCUUGACUGCGAGACCUACAAGUCGAGCAGAGACGAAAGUCGGCCUUAGUGAUCCGACAGUACUGAGUGGAAAGGCUGUCGCUCAACGGAUAAAAGUUA